rnacentral:lncRNA from 1 species
AUGGGUUUCCGCAUAACAAGUAUUAUCAGAAGAAAAUCAUUUUCCAGAACCCAAGGAUCUACCAAGGGAUUUGAAGUUGCUAAAGGAUAUCUCGCCGUGUAUGUUGGAGAUAAAAUGAGGCGGUUUGUGAUUCCAGUAUCAUACUUGAACCAACCAUUAUUUCAAGAAUUACUUAUUGAAGCAGAAGAAGAAUUUGGAUAUGCUCAUCCAAUGGGUGGUCUAACAAUUCCAUGCAGUGAAGAUGAAUUCUUAAACCUCACUUCUAGAUUGAAUUGA